rnacentral:tRNA from 1 species
CCCCUGGUGGUCUAGUGGUUAGGAUGUGGCGCUCUCACCGCCGUGGCCUGGGUUCGAUUCCCGGUCAGGGAA